AUGCAUAAAAACCUGCAUAUGUAUUUAACUCUGAAGAAAACCUUCAACAAUGAGAAAUAUGCCGUUUUUGGGCUAGAAGAAGACAAAUUAAUGUUACAGAAGUGUGCGUGCGUAUGGGUCUGCAGCUCCAGCAGCAUCCUACAGCACAAGUUACAAGCUCAAUAUUAACAGGAUAAUAUGCAGAGUAUCCAGCAUCCAGCAGGAGCACAGGUACAGAACUUGACCCUAAUGUUAGCAUAAUUACUUGAAAUGUUCCUUUAGUUCAAGACUGUCCCCUUCAGACAUCAUGAGAAGCCCAACUGUUCGAAAGAGCAGUGAGGGCAACAUUAAUUGCCAUACAUUUACUGAGCAAGCAGGAGCGUGUGCAGCCAAAAAGGUGUCACGAGCAGGACAUCAUGUAGCUUCCCAGGUGAUUCAGCACAGUUCUGGAGGGUUGGUUAUUAUGAAGUGAAACACGGUUUUAACCCUUUUCUCGGGGUAGAGGUGUAUACUUUGACCACAGCCUGGCUAAUUCAACACCCAGACUGAAAAUUUAGCACACUGAUAUAGCGUGUGAGCUUGGGUGGUCUUCAAAAGAUCUGGUUCCCUAAAUGAGUAAACUACAUAGUGAUCUAUGAUUCUGGAAGCUGAAACGCAGUCACCUGUUUUCACAGAUUUUGCUAGCUAUGAAAGAAACUUUCCUCGGAUCACAUUGCCACCACAAACAGUCAUUCCCAGCUUGAAGAAAAAACCUCGGAAGUUUCAACUGGGAAUGAUGUUGUGUUGCUCUUGAAAUGUGGGUAGUUUCAUUUGCAGAUCCACAGUAUCACACAAAACAAUCACAGAGAGAGUAAUUGUCUACAUAAACAAUGAGGUAAAACUGCAGUAUAUGAUGCCCUGUGGUAUGUACAUCAGUGAAGUAAGAGGUACAUAUCACACCUGCUUUUUUGAUUGUGCUAUGCUGGGCUCUGCCAUAAAAUAAGAGCAGCAUGGCAGAGCCUGACGGAAUGGUACAACCAAAAGCAGGUGUGUGGCAUUCCUUCCAUGACAGGCAUGCCACAUGCUACCCAGCACUGCAAACAGCCAGGGGAGGAGCUUGCAAAAUAUAGCCUUUGCUCAAGUACUUUGUGCUGCUUCAGGUGUAUUUCAGUAGCUGAGAGC
ensembl:lncRNA